rnacentral:lncRNA from 1 species
CCCCGCGCCCGUGCUGUCCGACUCUCGAGCGCUCUCCCUCCCUUCGAGUCACCCCCAGUCCUGCGAUGCAGUGUCAGGAUUGCACGGCUCUGACUCAUCGGUUGAGCUCACAGCUUGGAAAAAAAAAAGAGGGCGAGAGGCAACAACGAAGGAGGACGACUCUGGCGUGCUACAAAGGAUUGCACAACUCAAGGCUGGGUGCACAGAGUGCCCAGCAGCCAGCAGGCGCGCGCAGCACCGCGAGGAGCAGGAACCAGCUCUACCACUUCAUCAGCACCACUGUCUCGGGGCGGCCUCUCAGCCAGCAGGCCCAGCGCCGCCCACUUCCUGCGACCAAAUAAGGCCGAGGAAGGCGUCUUUAAACCUCCGGGGGCGGCCGGGGCUGGGGAUUUCCAGCGGACCUCACCUCUACUCCGGAGUAGGGUGCCACCCUCCCCCAGCCCAGGCGGGCGCCCCCUUGGCUUUGCUGGAACCAACAAGCCAUGUGGCUCGUUCCUUGCACACCAAGGUCCUUUCUGAGACAGCAGAGAGUUCAAAAACCACCUCAGUCACUAAGAGCAAGAACUGCCAGCUUCCCAGGGGCCCCACUUCAACAAAGCCCAUGCCCCCACAGGAC